rnacentral:lncRNA from 1 species
UUGUGUGAUGAGGUACUAUCUCAGGCAGCACACUGAGGCAAGGCAAUUCUCAUUUUGAGGUUUGCUACCCAACCUUUGUGGUUGGGGGACCUACUAACCCGAGGUUAAUGGGCGUGCUUUGUGCGAGUUCACCCACCAAGGUCAAAGGUGAAUAUGAACAUCUCACAUCAUGCCUCACCUAAGAAGGUUUCAAUCAAACAACCAAUCACUUUAAUGCCCUGCUUAGUUAUAAACCCGCGCUACUAGGCUCGGCAAUAUGAAAUGCUAUGUAAGUCAUUAUAAAACUUUGUAUGAUGACAUAUUUUCCCGAUGUGGGACUUUGGCAAUUAUCCUUAUUUUAUGAUAUAUAUAUAAAAAGUGAUUGUGUGAUGAGGGGUCCUAUCUCAGGCAGCACACUGAGGCAAGGCAAUUCUCAUUUUGAUGUUUGCUACCCAACCUUUGUGGUUGGGGGACCUACUAACCCGAGGUUAAUGGGCGUGCUUUGUGGGAGUUCAAACACCAAGGUCAAAGGUGAACAUCUCACACCAUGCCUCACCUAAGAAAGUUUCAAUCAAGCAACCAAUCACUUUAAUGCCCUGCUU